GAUGAACGCUGGCGGCGUGCCUAAUACAUGCAAGUCGAGCGAACAGACGAGGAGCUUGCUCCUCUGACGUUAGCGGCUGACGGGCGAGUAACACGUGGAUAACCUACCUAUAAGACUGGGAUAAAUUCGGGAAACCGGAGCUAAUACCGGAUAAUAUAUUGAACCGCAUGGUUCAAUAGUGAAAGACGGUUUUGCUGUCACUUAUAGAUGGAUCCGCGCCCCAUUAGCUAGUUGGUAAGGUAACGGAUUACCAAGGCAACGAAGCGUAGCCGACCUGAGAGGGUGAUAGGCCACACUGGAACUGAGACACGGUCCAGACUCCUACGGGAGGAAGCAGUAGGGAAUCUUCCGCAAUGGGCGAAAGCCUGACGGAGCAACGCCGCGUGAGUGAUGAAGGUCUUCGGAUCGUAAAACUCUGUUAUUAGGGAAGAACAAAUGUGUAAGUAACGAUGCACGUCUUGACGGUACCUAAUCAGAAAGCCACGGCUAACUACGUG
rnacentral:rRNA from 1 species